AAUGAACGUUGGCGGCAUGGAUUAGGCAUGCAAGUCGAGCGCGAAACGUAGCAAUACGUGGAGAGCGGCGAAAGGGAGAGGAAUAUGUGGGAACCUACCUUCGGGCCUGGAAUAGCGGCGGGAAACUGCCGGUAAUGCCAGAUAACGUCCCCGAACCAAAGGUGUGCUUCCGCCUGGAGAUGGGCCCACAACCUAUCACCUUGUUGGUGUGGUAACGGCGCACCAAGGCUAAGACGGGUAUGGGGUGUGAGAGCAUGCCCCCACUCACUGGGACUGAGACACUGCCCAGACACCGACGGGUGGCUGCAGGCGAGAAUCUUCGGCAAUGAGCGCAAGCUUGACCGAGCGAUGCCGCGGGCGGGAUGAAGGCCCUCGGGUUGUAAACCGCUGUCGUAGGGGAAUAACGGUCGGUGGGUUCUCCCAUCGAUUUGAAGGAUCCUAGGAGGAAGGACGGGCUAAGUUCGUG
rnacentral:rRNA from 1 species